CCUACGGGAGGCUGCAGUGGGGAAUGUUGCACAAUGGGGGAAACCCUGAUGCAGCGACGCCGCGUGAGCGAUGCAGUAUUUCGGUAUGUAAAGCUCUAUCAGCAGGGAAGAAGAUGACGGUACCUGACUAAGAAGCCCCGGCUAACUACGUGCCAGCAGCCGCGGUAAUACGUAGGGUGCAAGCGUUGUCCGGAUUCACUGGGCGUAAAGGGAGCGUAGACGGCGAUGCAAGCCUGAUGUGAAAGCCCGGGGCUCAACCCCGGGACUGCAUUGGGAACUGGGUGGCUGGAGUGUCGGAGAGGCAGGGGGAAUUCCUGGUGUAGCGGUGAAAUGCGUAGAUAUUAGGAGGAACACCGGUGGCGUAGGCGGCCUACUGGGCGGUGACUGACGUUGAGGCUCGAAAGCGUGGGGAGCAAACGGGAUUAGAUACCCUUGUAGUC
rnacentral:rRNA from 1 species